rnacentral:rRNA from 1 species
AUUGAACGCUGGCGGCAGGCUUAACACAUGCAAGUCGAGCGGGGGAAGGUAGCUUGCUACCGGACCUAGCGGCGGACGGGUGAGUAAUGCUUAGGAAUCUGCCUAUUAGUGGGGGACAACAUCUCGAAAGGGAUGCUAAUACCGCAUACGUCCUACGGGAGAAAGCAGGGGAUCUUCGGACCUUGCGCUAAUAGAUGAGCCUAAGUCGGAUUAGCUAGUUGGUGGGGUAAAGGCCUACCAAGGCGACGAUCUGUAGCGGGUCUGAGAGGAUGAUCAGCCACACUGGGACUGAGAAACGGGCCAGACUCCUACGGGAGGCAGCAGUGGGGGAUAUUGGACAAUGGGGGGAACCCUGAUCCAGCCAUGCCGCGUGUGUGAAGAAGGCCUUAUGGUUGUAAAGCACUUUAAGCGAGGAGGAGGCUACUUUAGUUAAUACCUAGAGAUAGUGGACGUUACUCGCAGAAUAAGCACCGGCUAACUCUGUGCCAGCCGCCGCAGUAA